rnacentral:rRNA from 1 species
UGGGGAAUAUUGCACAAUGGGCGAAAGCCUGAUGCAGCGACGCCGCGUGAGGGAUGACGGCCUUCGGGUUGUAAACCUCUUUCAGCAGGGACGAAGCGCAAGUGACGGUACCUGCAGAAGAAGCACCGGCUAACUACGUGCCAGCAGCCGCGGUAAUACGUAGGGUGCAAGCGUUGUCCGGAAUUACUGGGCGUAAAGAGUUCGUAGGCGGUUUGUCGCGUCGUUUGUGAAAACCAGCAGCUCAACUGCUGGCUUGCAGGCGAUACGGGCAGACUUGAGUACUGCAGGGGAGACUGGAAUUCCUGGUGUAGCGGUGAUAUGCGCAGAUAUCAGGAGGAACACCGGUGGCGAAGGCGGGUCUCUGGGCAGUAACUGACGCUGAGGAACGAAAGCGUGGGUAGCGAACAGG